GAAACACGUGAACGCGCUGCGCCGUGGCGGCAAGGCCCGGCCGACCCGCCGCGUCGCCCUCGCCCCUCCCCCCGCCGCAUCCGUCGGCGUGGGGGUGGCCGGCGGAACAGAACCCCGGCGCCCCGGAGGGUGCCAAGGAACAGGAGCGCGGAAGCGGGGGCACCUUCACCGCCCGCCCGUCCCCACUCCGGUGUCGGGAGGGCGGAGGGCAUCGCCACCGUCGAUGCCAGCCUUAUGCGGUACGACUCUCGGCAACGGAUAUCUCGGCUCUCGCAUCGAUGAAGAACGUAGCGAAAUGCGAUACCUGGUGUGAAUUGCAGAAUCCCGCGAACCAUCGAGUCUUUGAACGCAAGUUGCGCCCGAGGCCACCCGGCCGAGGGCACGCCUGCCUGGGCGUCACGCAAAAAGCGACGCUCCACUCCGCCCGGGGCCACGACGAGCUCCGGGGUGGCCGGACGCGGACACUGACCCCCCGCGCCCCCCGGCACGGCGGGUAGAAGAGCGGGCCGUUGGCGGGGCCGGACACGGUGGAUGGUGGACGCGCCUGCG
rnacentral:rRNA from 1 species